rnacentral:tRNA from 1 species
GGGUGUGAUGCUAGUAAGGCAGGGUGCUCUGCAAAGGCACUUUAGAUAUUUUUAUCCAUACCUU